rnacentral:rRNA from 1 species
UCCUUUAUCUAAUCAGUGAAACUAAUCUCCCCGUGAAGAAGCGAGGAUAACACUAUAAGACGAGAAGACCCCAUGGAGCUUUAAACCCAAUUAUAUUCCCAAUCCCUACAACCAUUUAAUCCUUUGGGUCCUAUAUACUUGGUUUUAGGUUGGGGCGACCACGGAGUAAAACUAAACCUCCAUGAUGUACGGAACAACCUCCUUAUCUAAGAGCCACAGCUCUAAGAAUUAGCACACUAUCAUAAAAUGACCCAUUAUUGAUCAACGAACCAAGUUACCCUGGGGAUAACAGCGCAAUCCAUUUUAAGAGCCCCUAUCGACAAAUGGGUUUACGACCUCGAUGUUGGAUCAGGAUAUCCCAGUGGUGCAGCAACUACUAAAGGUUCGUUUGUUCAACGAUCAAAAUCCUACGUGAUCUG